UACAGAGGGUGCAAGCGUUAAUCGGAAUUACUGGGCGUAAAGCGCGCGUAGGCGGCUUUGCAAGCCGGAUGUGAAAUCCCCGGGCUUAACCUGGGAACUGCAUUCGGGACUGCAUUGCUAGAGUAUGGGAGAGGGAAGUGGAAUUUCAGGUGUAGCGGUGAAAUGCGUAGAUAUCUGAAGGAACAUCAGUGGCGAAAAGCGACUUCCUGGACCAAUACUGACGCUCAUGUGCGAAAGCGUGGGGAGCAAACAGG
rnacentral:rRNA from 1 species